UACGUAGGGUGCAAGCGUUAAUCGGAAUUACUGGGCGUAAAGCGUGCGCAGGCGGUCCGUUAAGACAGAUGUGAAAUCCCCGGGCUUAACCCUGGGAACUGCAUUUGUGACUGGCGGACUCGAGUAUGGCAGAGGGGGGGUAGAAUUCCACGUGUAGCAGUGAAAUGCGUAGAGAUGUGGAGGAAUACCGAUGGCGAAGGCAGCCCCCUGGGCCCAAUACUGACGCUCAUG
rnacentral:rRNA from 1 species